rnacentral:siRNA from 1 species
ACGCGCCAGAGCCAACUCGCCA